AUUAAACGCUGGCGGCAUGCCUUACACAUGCAAGUCGAACGGCAGCACGGGGGCAACCCUGGUGGCGAGUGGCGGACGGGUGAGUAAAGCAUCGGAACGUAUCCUGGAGUGGGGGAUAACGUAGCGAAAGUUACGCUAAUACCGCAUAUUCUGUGAGCAGGAAAGCAGGGGAUCGCAAGACCUUGCGCUCUGGGAGCGGCCGAUGUCGGAUUAGCUAGUUGGUGGGGUAAAGGCCUACCAAGGCGACGAUCCGUAGCGGGUCUGAGAGGAUGAUCCGCCACACUGGGACUGAGACACGGCCCAGACUCCUACGGGAGGCAGCAGUGGGGAAUUUUGGACAAUGGGCGGAAGCCUGAUCCAGCCAUGCCGCGUGAGUGAAGAAGGCCUCGG
rnacentral:rRNA from 1 species